GCCUGCCAAUCAAUUUUUACUUUAUAUGUGUGAUAAAAAGAGCGCAAUGGCCAAUGGGUGUAGUUUCCACUAAACUAUGUCAUUCUCAAGUCGACUUACGUUAAAAGAUCGUGAGUUUAAUUCUGGCCAAUAUAGAACAGUUUUCAGGGAAUCAACCAGAUAAAUUAAGGAGAACAUUUUAAACAGCCGCUAUCGAUAAGUUCGCGCGACUCCUAAAAUCUGCCGGUUGCGCCAAGUGGCCUACGUGACUCGGGGCCCCCUCGCUAUGGCGCCAGCAGCUAAACGAAUUCCCGCCUUAUUGACAAGAGCAAAAUACACACAUGAAAAUUCCACAAUCUACCCACUUACGACAGUAGAAAUGCAAUUAUCGCAUAGUGAUAACCUUCUGUUAUAUAACAAGUACACGAAAAAAAUAUAGCACGUGUCCAAAAGUCACAGAUCAGCUGAUCUGGGAUACUCACCCCACGAGUUAACCAGGCCAAUAUACAGUGCGAAAAUCGCUAGGAAGCACUGCAUUUUACACAUUUUGUUUCAUAA